rnacentral:misc_RNA from 1 species
AAGUCGUAACAAGGUUUCCGUAGGUGAACCUGCGGAAGGAUCAUUAACACGUUUCCACGUAUCCACGCACGUGCAAUUGUUUUCGUACCUCUCCUUGUGCGGUGCCUUCGGGCGCUGCCGGGACAUUUCGGGUGCUGCUGUCCUCUCGGCUCCGGCUGAGGCGCUCCGCCCUUUACUCACCCCUUCCACCGCUUUUUUGCUAGUUGACUUUGAAAAAUGACACUGCUUGUGUGGCUGUGUUGCGUGUUUGGUUUCGGCCUGACUCCUUCGCUCCCCGUGCCUGCUGUGCCUCGUUUUCUCUAUUAAUUUAUUGAAACGUCAUUACAACUCUUAGCAAUGGAUAUCUAGGUUCUC